AUCUUAUUAGUAUAAAUCAGUACAUUUAACUUCCAAUUAAAUAGUUUAAUUUUAAUUUAAAUAAGAUA
rnacentral:tRNA from 1 species